rnacentral:lncRNA from 1 species
AAAACAUGAUCUCCAUCUGCAUCGACCAAGUACAUUAGAUGCAGUUAUCCCCAUGAUGGAGAAGACCACGUUGUGCCAUGUUAAAGAUAAGGGGCUUCAGGAGGUGAAGGGAGUGGCCAUUUUAAAUGAGGACUUAAAUAUGGUUGACUAUCCAGGGAUUCAAACUAUUAUUUUUUGAUGUUAAGGAUAGGAAUGAGCCUUUUGACUUUCUUAGACUAGAAAUCCUGUAAGUCUCCAUUCUGGGAGGAAUCCUUAAUUUUGCUCACCUGGGAGAAAGGCCUAGAUUAGGAGGCUUGGCUAGGCCCAACUCCACCCAAACUUCCUGUUCCUGCCCCAGUGAUACCUGGGAGUUUUUGUUUUUGUUUUUUUUGAAAAGGAAGCUUAAGCAGAGCUAGGCCUAGCUAAGUUUCAAAGCCUUCCAGUUGAGGCCUUCAUCUCAGGUGAGUGAUAUUUAGGCAGGGUAUUUGCAAGUCUAGGUAGACCUUCCGGAAUGAGGACAUGUUUUAGUUCUAAAAAAUCAAAAAAAAAAAUCUAUCUCCAGUUAAAUGUGCCUGUGUUCAUUUUGGUUCCUUCCAGAAUUUUUAAAAUCUCACAAUCUCGCCACGCCCCAUACGAAGAAAGGUUUUGUUUGAACUACGAUCGGCAAGUAACUGAAAUGAAGUUCCUAGUCUACCACAAGGAGGAAGAAAGGACUGCCUUUAGAUUAAGGGAAGCAUCAGUCAGCCUGGGAAACAUCAGUCAAAAAAGGUCAUAACCACCAUGGAAAACUUGAAAGACGUGUUAUCUCGCACCCCAGGAAAGAGAGUCCGUCAGUUAACAGCGAUAUUCCGGCAGAUGAAAUCGUGGUUUCUGCUCAAAAUCUCCAUCAUCAUCAUUCCACAACUGUCCUUCCCUGUAUACCUGCUCCACACUGCCCUUGAAACACCCAGAGUUUUCUGGCUUUCUUGGGUCUGUGCCAAAUCCUUUUCCUGAUCCAUUUUAUUGAAUGGCCCGAGUGAAGGCGAUGGUUUUUUUUCCUCGUCCACGUUCUCCACAUCAUCUUCAUUUGAUAGCCCUCUGUGGCUCCCAUCCCCUUCUUUGUCCUUUUUAAAUAAACUCCCAGCCAACCUGGCCCUGGCA